rnacentral:rRNA from 1 species
GGCGAACGGCUGAGUAACACGUGGGCAACCUGCCCUUUGCACUGGGAUAGCCUCGGGAAACCGAGGUUAAUACCGGAUACUCCAUAUUUGUCGCAUGGCGAAUAUGGGAAAGCUCCGGCGGCAAAGGAUGGGCCCGCGGCCUGUUAGCUAGUUGGUGGGGUAGUGGCCUACCAAGGCAAUGAUGGGUAGCCGGGUUGAGAGACCGACCGGCCAGAUUGGGACUGAGACACGGCCCAGACUCCUACGGGAGGCAGCAG